rnacentral:rRNA from 1 species
UAACAAGGAUUCCCCUAGUAACUGCGAGUGAAGCGGGAAAAGCUCAAAUUUAAAAUCUGACAGUUUCACUGUCCGAGUUGUAAUCUGGAGAAGCAUUUUCCGUGUCGGACCGUGUACAAGUCUCUUGGAAUAGAGCGUCAUAGAGGGUGAGAAUCCCGUCCAUGACACGGACUACCGAUGCUUUGUGAUAUGCUCUCGAAGAGUCGAGUUGUUUGGGAAUGCAGCUCAAAAUGGGUGGUAAAUUCCAUCUAAAGCUAAAUAUUGGCGAGAGACCGAUAGCGAACAAGUACCGUGAGGGAAAGAUGAAAAGCACUUUGGAAAGAGAGUUAAACAGUACGUGAAAUUGUUGAAAGGGAAACGCUUGAAGUCAGUCGCGUUGAUUGAGACUCAGCCUUGCUUUGCAUGGUGUACUUCUCAGUUAACGGGUCAACAUCAAUUUCAGUUGGUGGAUAAAGGCAUUGGGAAUGUGGCACCUUCGGGUGUGUUAUAGACCUUUGUUGCAUACACUGACCGGGAUUGAGGAACGCAGCACGCCACUAAGGCCAGGGGUUCGCCCCAUGUAACGUGCUUAGGAUGUUGGCAU